AUGAACGCUGGCGGCUUGCCUAAUACAUGCAAGUCGAGCGAACAGACGAGGAGCUUGCUCCUCUGACGUUCGCGGCGGACGGGUGAGUAACACGUGGAUAACCUACCUAUAAGACUGGGAUAACUUCGGGAAACCGGAGCUAAUACCGGAUAAUAUAUUGAACCGCAUGGUUCAAUAGUGAAAGACGGUUUUGCUGUCACUUAUAGCUGGAUCCGCGCCGCAUUAGCUAGUUGGUAAGGUAACGGCUUACCAAGGCAACGAUGCGUAGCCGACCUGAGAGGGUGAUCGGCCACACUGGAACUGAGACACGGUCCAGACUCCUACGGGAGGCAGCAGUAGGGAAUCUUCCGCAAUGGGCGAAAGCCUGACGGAGCAACGCCGCGUGAGUGAUGAAGGUCUUCGGAUCGUAAAACUCUGUUAUUAGGGAAGAACAAAUGUGUAAGUAACUAUGCACGUCUUGACGGUACCUAAUCAGAAAGCCACGGCUAACUACGUG
rnacentral:rRNA from 1 species